rnacentral:rRNA from 1 species
UACUAGAGUAGCACUUGCAUAUCAAUAAGCGGAGGAAAAGAAACUAACAAGGAUUCCCCUAGUAACGGCGAGUGAAGCGGGAAGAGCUCAAAUUUGAAAUCUUAAAGGGUUUCCCUUUACGAAUUGUAGUUUAAAGAAGUGUUUUCUGUUGAGGUUUUGGUAAAAGGUUCUUUGGAAUAGGACAUCAUAGAGGGUGAGAAUCCCGUAUUUGACCUUUACUUUCAACUUUGUGAUACACUUUCAAAGAGUCGGAUUGUUUGGGAAUGCAGUCCAAAAUGGGUGGUAAAUUUCAUCUAAAGCUAAAUAUUGGCGAGAGACCGAUAGCGAACAAGUACCGUGAGGGAAAGAUGAAAAGAACUUUGAAAAGAGAGUUAAACAGUACGUGAAAUUGUCAAAAGGGAAGCGUUUGACACCAGUGUUGUUUUUCUGAAAAUCAAUUAAAGAACUGUUUAUGCUAAGUUGUUUAGACUUUAUCAGCUAUCUGCUUAGUUUUAGGCUCUUCUUCAAUGCACCUUUCAGUUAACAAGUCAACAUCAAUUUCUUUUGCUGUAAAAAAGCUUGAGGAAGGUGGCUUGAGAUUCGUCUUAAGUGUUUAUAGCCUCUUGCCUAUGCAGUCGGAGAGAUUGAGGUCUGCAGCGUAGAUCCUUCGGGGCUAAAUGCAUUUGUGCUAAGUUAUAGCAUUUUAUAGACAACUUGUUGACUAUGAUUUGUCUUGUAGCUUACUCGCUUAUGUUAUUUUACCUACGCUUAGGAUGUUGAACUACUGAGACAUAGA